CCUACGGGUGGCAGCAGUGAGGAAUAUUGGGCAAUGGAGGCAACUCUGACCCAGCCAUGCCGCGUGAGUGAAGAAGGUUUUCGGCUUGUAAAGCUCUUUCGGAUGUGACAAUAAUGACGGUAGCAUCUAAAGAAGCCCCGGCUAACUUCGUGCCAGCAGCCGCGGUAAUACGAAGGGGGCAAGCGUUGUUCGGAAUUACUGGGCGUAAAGGGGGUGUAGGGGGUUUAGUAAGAUAGUGGUGAAAUCCCAGAGCUUAACUUUGGAAUUGCCAUUAUAACUAGUAGUAUAGAAUUACAGAGAGGAAAGUGGAAUACCCAGUGUAGCGGUGAAAUUCGUAGAUAUUGGGUAGAACACCAGUGGCGAAGGCGACUAUCUGGCUGUACAUUGACGCUGAGGCUCGAAAGCAUGGGGAUCGAACAGGAUUAGAUACCCGUGUAGUC
rnacentral:rRNA from 1 species